GGAGCCUGCAGAGCUGGACAUACUACUCCAGGCAGUGAGUCCUAGGCCAAGUGUGAAACUGUGUGUACUGGACUGUUGUGGGAAACCCAGGAAUUGCUUUCUAGCCACUCAUUUGGGCAUGAGGAAAAAUAUCUUCACUGACAAGAGUUAUCAAGCCAUGGAUCAGGCUGCCCUGGGAAGUGAUGGAGUCUUCAUUCCUGAAGGGAUUUAAAUGCCAUGUAGAUGUGGUGCUGAGAUGCAUGGUUUAAUGGUGGCCUGGCAGUGGUGGGUUAAUGGUUGGACUUGCUGAUCUGAAAGGUCUUGUUCAAGCUAAAUGAUUCUGUGAUUCUGUGAUUCACAUUUUGGAAGAUAUUGUAAGAAGCAGCAAAGUUUUAAGUCAAUCUAAGGAAAUGUUUGUAUUGUUUGCAUGUACUUUUUGCUCUUGGCAGCUGGAAAACAACAACAAAAAGGCAGUGAUCAGCACACAUGAUGCUCUGUAGAUUAAAUACAUACAGGGAGUAUGUCUGUAGAGCUGCACAUCCAGCUGUCAAACACAGCUCCCAAGGUACUGCCACCCCAGUGAAAAAGCCCUGUGUUGUGUUACCACUGCUAACUGCACAGCAAUAGGAAGGGCUGAGGCAUCUCUAAACCAACCCAAGAAAAGAAACCAAUCUCUUGUUUGGGUUCCUGGAGCUGCUGGAGGGCUGCUUAGCAUGCGGCUCACAGCUGGAUGUGUGCGCUGGCAUGAGGCAGUGCUGCACAAAGCUGUACCCCCAGGGCUGCGGUGGGGCGGGCGCGGAGGAAGGGCUCCCCAGGGUUUCUCCUGGCAACAGUGCAGGUUGCUGGGAAACAGCAUUGCUUAAAUGGGAAGAAACUUUACCCAACGGGCAGCCUCUUGAAUGCAAAUAAGGCUCGAAGGAGACUUCUCUUGCUGAUACUCUCAUUUCCCCCUCCCUGAGAUAAAAAAACCCAAACCCAGAAGCUCUUUAUUCAGAGGAUUAUGUGUGGAUGCUGCUAUGCAGAACCAUUGAAAGUUAUGUAAUAAAAGAGGGUAAUUAUUUCUAGGAAAAGGUAGUAGCAUGCAUGAUACCCAAGGAUUCAGCAACUCCUUGUCUUGUGAAGGGAUGGCAUAGCUGGAUUUGUCAGAUUCAUGUCACUAAAGAAACUUGCCACUUGGGAGAAUUAAACAGAAGAGUUAUAUGUGCAAAGGUUAAUUUUUUUUCACUAGAGAACAUUCUGUGUUAUUUUGUGUCAGCCCUGGGCUAUGUUGGACUUCUUCAGCUAAUAGUGCCCAUUUAUAUUUAGUACCAUUAUUGGGUGAAUGAUAUUGACUUGACAUUUGGGUAAUGUUGUGAGUUUUGACUCGGAAGGCUGAGAGAAACACCUCAGUUUCUUUACUUGAUUCCCAUGCUGCUAUUUAAAGUGGUUUUUUUCCUUUCUUGAUUGCUGAAGAUCCAUGGUGUCAGCUAUGUCCUCAGUUGUGUCUGUGUAACUCAACUAAAUAAAUAUUCUUCUUUUUCAA